rnacentral:rRNA from 1 species
UGACACAGGUGCUGCAUGGCGUGUCGUCAGCUCGUGCCGUGAGAUGUUGGGUUAAGUCCGUAACGAGCGCAACCCUUGUCCUUAGUUACCAGCACGUUAUGGUGGGCACUCUAAGGAGACUGCCGGUGACAACCGGAGGAAGGUGGGGAGUGACGUCAAGUCAUCAUGGCCCUUACGGCCUGGGCUACACACGUGCUACAAUGGUCGGUACAAAGGGUUGCCAAGCCGCGAGGUGGAGCUAAUCCCAUAAAACCGAAUCGUAGUCCGGAUCGCAGUCUGCAACUUGACUGCGUGAAGUCGGAAUCGCUAGUAAUCGUGAAUCAGAAUGUCACGGUGAAUACGUUCCCGGGCCUU